AUUUAUGAUUCCAAAGUACACCUAUAGUUAUUUGAUGGACUGGCACCCUGUUCGGGGUGCCCUUCUGUUUUGCACCCAGUGGUCCCAGGAUUGGCUCUGACCUCCAUGAUCCCUUGAAGUAAAACAAAAGACUUCCUUUGCUGUCCUAGUUAGUAAACAAAAUUCUUUUGAAAUCAUCUUUUUUCUACAAAUUUUAAUUGACAAAACUUUGAGUUUUUUUUACAUGUUUUUAAAUGUAGGAAAAUUUUCCAGCUAGUGUAUCCCACCCCUUUUGCAAUUUAAAGGGAAGGUGUUUCUGAAGAUGAUCAUCAUCCUUGGCUGUCCUCUGCCAACACCAUGAACAAGUUUGCUGUAUUCGCUGUCUUGGCAGUCUUCACUGCACUUGUCACAAGUCAUUCUGAUAUUCCUGCCAAAGAGGAAAUGGGUA